UUUUUUUUUUCGUGUUCCGCAACUUCACCCCUUCUCUGAACUGAAUCUCUAGCAACAGUUGUAUUCCAAUGGUCCGAACAGUUGAGAUCACCCACAAGAGAACAAAACACCUACUCGGCACCAAACGCGAGUCCGACGGAAGCCGGGGCCCACACUCACUUCACUCUCGUCAGCUACCUUCCGAACUCUCUCAACGUCGCAAGUCGAUCGCAACAACUCCCGGCUCUGGCCGUCGCUGUCCACCCACACCCGCCCACCAUGUCGCUCAUCCGCUACUUGCCGUCGCCGUACCUUCCCCUCCCCUCUUCCGCGGCCCGCCGCCGUGGAUUCCUCCAGUCCGCCGCGCCUCCCGGUGCCCGUGCCGCCGCUGUCCAUGUCCUCGCCGCGAACCGCGUCGUGGUGCGACACUGGGCCUCCUACACCAAUUAACCUUCUCGCUCACAGGCCAAUGCUGGCCAUGGGUUUGACGAAUCGCUCGUGACUGAGCUUCCUUCCUCUUUGCUCUUGCAGCUGGGGUGCGGGCUGGUGACGCUGGACUACCUGGCCACGGUGGACGCGUACCCGCGGCCCGACGACAAGAUCCGCAGCGGGGAGCUGCAGGUACCCUACCCCUUCCGUGCGCGCGGUUGCCUGCCUACCUAGACCUAGUUCCCCCUCCACGAGCUGGAUUUGCGGCUGGGUGUAUGCUGUACUGCACUAGUGGCCAUUCCCUGGUGGUUCUUUGUGUGCGCAGAUAUCGGGAGGCGGGAACGCCGGGAACGCAUUGACAGGCGCUGCUCGUCUGGGCCUCAACACCAGGCUCAUCUCCAAGGUAGUAGUAAAUUCCUCCACCUCGUCUUGUGGCAAUAUUUUCUCCUCACGGAUUUUCCAUUGAGAUGGUAGGAUCACGUAAAACUUGAUCCCUCAGAAAUUUUAUUUUACCAAUUCUUUCAAACAUUUGCUUGAACAAUUGGAACAAAUUCAUCACAUUUCAAAAUAAAACACCUCCGAUCCAUAUUAAUUGUCGCUCGUUUAGUACAAAGUCAAAAGAGACAUUGGCCCAAGCUACACAAAAAAGCUUUGUCUUCCUUGGUCUUGUAGUUGCACGACCAGCCGCUCUUUUUUUAUGUUUUGGUAUCCUUGACCCCCUUCACCUCCUCUACCUCGGCACUUCUCAUCAUCUCUUGGGUACAUGACAUUGACAUGGCAAUGUCGUCCAGGCCGAGUGUGUGGCUUACAUUUAAUUGUUCCAUGGAAUCGGCCGCAUCAUCAUUCAUUCGCUCACUACAAAAGCACUAAAAAAACUACUCCUUCCAUUCCUAAAUAUAAACCCUUUUAGAGAUUCCAAUAUGGAAUACAUACAGAGCAAAAUGAGUUGAUCUACACUUUGAAAUAUGUCUAGAUACAUUCGUAUGUAGUACGUAUUGAAAUCUCUAAAAAGACUUAUAUUUAAAAACGGGUGGAGUAGCAAUCAAUAUCGCAUCAUGCAUCACUCUCUUGAGCAAUUGCAACAAAACGAAAAACAUGGAAACUUUUACCUUGCGAGCAUAUCCUCGAGCACGUCAGCGUCGCUCCUAGUCUCGUCUGAAUCCAUGUCUUCUUCCACCACCGGAGGUGGAGGGGGUGUCGGCGCUACUGCAUGAGGCCGAGGGGGGCGGCAGCCUUCUUCUUCGUCCUGGCCGUCAUGCUGUCCGCCUUGGUCGAUGGCCGACGGUCCCGUUUGCCGGUCAGAGCCGACAAGGGUAGUAGGGUGGCGGCGGCGGAGCAAGCAACGACCACCGCCGGUGACCAAGAGCUCUCGUUAACGUUCUUCCCUUGGCAGCUCUAGUUGGCGAGAUAAAGAGGCUUCUUUCUGUAGGCCCAGGGCAUGUGAUAUCACAUGCGAGUAGGAGUAGAAAUAAAGUUAGUCAUAUGUUAGCCCAAAUGGGACUUUCGAUCCCUCGUACUGCUGUUUGGUUGCGGAACGGACCUGAUGAGAUUGGUACCUUAUGCCAGUAGGAUUGGAAUGAGCUACCCUGAUUAAUACAAUCCUUUCCAUUCACAAAAAAAAAAGAUAACGUUCUUCCCUUGGCGCUGCCGUUUUGGUCCUUGUGGCGCCGAAUUCGCGGCCGGCGGUGGGUCUCUGGCGCCAGCGAGGGUGGCUAGAAGCGGGGCUCUCCAUUUCGUUGACAUCGAGGCCGGGGACAGCCGGCGGCAGGGCGAGCGGCAUCGGCAUCGGGGAUUGAGCGGGAAAGAUGUGGGCAAGUGGGAAGCAGCGGGGCUCGGCCUUAUUUUUCCUGAGAACGGUCGCGGCUGGACUAAAUUUGAGCUAGUGAGGGAAAGUUUUAGGGGGAAAAGUCAUACUUGAGGAACUAAACUUUAUAAGGGAUUUGCUAGAUGAUGAUUAAUCCCCUAAAAGAAAAUUUCCCCCUCAAAUAUAACUUUUAAGAGAUAUCCUAGAGAUGCCCUAAGCUUUACUGAACUUCACUCAACUUAUGUCUUUUCAGGUGGCCAACGAUGAAAUAGGAGGAACUGUUCUUUCGGAACUUGAGGAAGCUGGGAUUGACGUGUCACAUGUUAUAGUAAGGCUUGAAUUACGACUGAACUAUUUCAUCAUGUGCAUGCAAGUGACGAUAUGGUCAUAGGCAAGGCACAACACUUUCUAACUGUUUCCCCAAAAUAAACAUUCAGAUUUGUAGCAUUCUGUUUUCCGGGCUCAUAUAUUUGUUUCGAGAAAACGCAAAAGACUUUGCGUUUCAUUUCAUUGAACAUGAAGAGAAUACAGGUACAAGUACAACCUCCCAGCAGGAGGGACACACGCACACACACCACCGUCCUCACCAAAUGAGCAGGUGAGGAGGUGCCACCACCUACAGACAGCAACGACGAAAGGUCUCGCCUUGUCCAGCCUCUAACCAUGAAUGGCGAGGAAGCUAGACUCAGGGCUCAUAUAUUUGUUGCUGCCACCAGGAGGAUAGCAGCAUCCCUUUCAGACAGUACCACUGAAAUUAUGUCCACUACCCAAGAAUAAAUAAACAUAACUGAAAUACUGAACGUGGGUACUUCUAACAUGGAUAGAAAACACCAGUAAGGUGUAUCUCUAAUACUCUGUUUUAGCGGAUAUGUCUAAUACUUAAGGUGGAUGGUACUAAUUCUCUAGAAAGAGAAAUUACACGACCACACAAUUUGUUCUUGUGUUCAAGAAAUAAAAAUACACGUCAUCAGUUAAACCACCCAUUUUGACCAUGAUAUGUCUUCUACAGAGAGUCAAAGCAUUAGCAGAUGAGAGAUGCAUGUGAAAUCUAUAGUGAAAUAUCAGACUGGACUUCCCUUCGAUUUUUUGUCUCAUAUUCUAUGUGAUUCUGCUUUGCAGAUCUCUGAUGGUGGAAACACAACAUUUGUUUAUGUCAUUAUUGAUAAGAAAACGUGAGAAUAUAUCUUUUCUUCAUCAUCAUUAUUUAAAGGCAGCUAGUGCUUAGUUUCAUCCGGUACCUUCCUGAACAGAUGAUUCUGGAAUAGUUAUAACUAGGUGAGUGAAACAGUCAACACAGCUGAAGGUAGAUUUGCCGGUCAUCUUGUCUACUCUGCCAGUAGUACAUAUAGAUAAAUUUCCCAAAAUAAAGUUUCCUAUUUAUCUGAGUGUCAUCUGAAGACCUUGUCAUAUGAACAUCUUUUUCCAACAUUCCUUUCUUGUUAUGCACUUCGACAUGAAUUCUUUUGACAACAUAACAUAAAAUUGUUACUAAAAGGCCUCCACGGUGUUCGUUCUGGAUACUGCAUGUUUAGAUCAGACAUACAAUUUAGAGUAUACAUAGAAACAAAGGACAAUAUUUUCUACACAUAACCAUUCUGUCAUUUGCUGUCCACUUUCAUUGUUUUACUGGUUCCUGAAUCAAUUUCUACAUGACUGAAACUGUUAACCUUGUUUGAGAAUAGGGUUAUGGUACACUGCUCUUAUUCAACUUUUGCAAUUUACUUUAUGGCAUCAUAAACAAAUUAUCAUACACGUACUUAUAAAACUCUUUGCGUUUGUAGGAAAACCCGAACAUGUAUAAUCACGUCAGGCUACCCUCCAAUGGUUCCUUGUGACAUAUCAAUGUCAAAUUUGUCAGCUGCACUACAAGAUGUAAACUUGCUAUACCUAGACGGAUAUUCACAUGAAAUGGCACUAUCUGUUGGUAAGCAGGUAGGUUUAUUUUUUUCAAGUUGUUGCAGCAUUAAUUCACUGAUACGUACAUCAUACAUGUUUUUGUUUUGCCAUUUUGUAUGUGUUGUUCAAUCUUCAAAAGUCCAGGUGUAUCCUUAGUGGCAAACUAAUUAUUUUCCUUCUUGUUAUUUAGAAGAUUUAAAUUGAAUUUCUAUAGAUAACUAGUAGUAUACUACGGUAACACUGCAUAAAACCUGCAAGAUAAAUAUAUCCCAGUUGAGUGUGUUGCAUGAUGCACAGGCUGAUCUGAUGAAGAUUCCAAUACUGGUUGAUGCGGAACCAGAAAGAACAAAGACAGAACUGGAGCAUCUGCUCGACCUAUCGAGUUACAUUGUCUGUUCGGGUAAAUUUCCAGAGGUAUCAUGAGGCCAUGACACAUUUUAGCAGAAGUGAAUAUUCCUUGUGUCCAAUUGUAUGCUCUCAGUACACCUUUCGUUGCUUUAUGCACACACUAAUUUCAGUGACGUCUUCUUUUUAAAGAAAUGGACAUCAAUUUCAUGCAUUCCCUCUGCACUACUAGAGAUUCUUGUGCAAUAUCCCCGUGCGAGGUUCGUCAUUGCAACCCUUGGAGAAAACGGGUGCAUGAUGCUUGAGAGGAUCGAAGGUGAUCAGCUUUGAGAACUUUUGGUCUUGUCCUGAUAAGAAUAACACCAGCAAGGAUCAACAUGAUGCGUAAUUGUGGCCUUCGAGAUUUUUCAGGCUCAUUUUAUUUUAUUUUCUGGUCAUCCGGUACCUUCCUGAACAGAUGAUUCUGGAAUAGAUGCGGUAGAUAUUGGGAAUGUUGCUGAGUCCUUAAGGCUUAAAGUGCAUAAAGAUGACAAUCUGCCAACUUGUGUAUCAUCCAAGGUAUGAAAAAAUUGACAAUGUUUCUGGUCCUCACAGCCAUUUAAUAAUGUCGGGUCACCGGAAUUACUGAAGAAACUGACAUCUGUUAGGAUUUUACCGUUUUGAAAUUUAUCAUUCUAGUUCAUGAGACUCUCUGGAAGAGGGCAUGGGACUAUACACGGAAGAUUGCUGAUAGGAACAGCAGAAAAAAUCCCCGCUCCAGAGCUUGUUGACACCACCGGUUGUGGCGAUGCGUUCAUAGGAGCAGUGCUCUACGGUGAGGCAUAUCAACUUGUUCCUUUCUUAUUCAUGAUAUUAUCUUUCGCGUAUAGGAAGAAGAUUGCUACGUAUGAAUAAGCAGUAGGCGUACUGAUUUCUCGCUGGCAUAAGUUCAGGCCAGUUAUUUUUGCUUUCAAAUAGAUAGAUGGUGACUGUCGAAAUUCCCCCCUGUUGAUUCUACGCAGGGCUGUGCACAGAGAUGGCUCCGGAAAAGAUGCUGCCUUUUGCUUGUCAAGUGGUAAAACAGUGCUCAAUCUGCUAAUGCCACGAAAGAAGUGGCUUUAUUCCGACUGAGAUGUACACUGAGAGCGUGCUUGGUUUGGUUUGGUUUGGUGUUCGUGUGGCAGGCAGGCAUCAAAUGCAGAGCGAUCGGCGCGCGCACCGGCCUACCGUGGCGAUCUGAUGCCCGCUUGUCCAAGUACUUAGCGUGAGGCACCCUGAAAGAAUUGUGUGGAAAAAAAAAGGAACGGCUUGGAGAAGAUGCAACAUGUUCCUGGCUGUUCACCAUGGGAGUGGACUGGAACAUGCAUGAUACUGUAUAUGGUGCGGUACAAGUGUCAUCGUAAAGAGCUCGCGUGACGAUGCCAUAUAUGUAUGUUUGGUUGAAUAAAAUCCGUCCAUUAUGUGGGAAUUUCCUGAUUUGUUAGUUCAAACAAUGCCCGCAAUUUAUGCAGCACAUAUGUGAAAUUCUUGUGUUCUAGCCCAAGAAUUUGGUCACUAUAUCUCGAAACAAUUGGCCACUUUCUGACGAUUUCAUAUAGAUACCCAGUAAUCCUCACCCCUGCCUUCAGUCCUCGGUUUGACACCAACAAUUCCACCUUGUCCCUUCUGUAAAAAAAAAAGAAUUUGGCCACUAUAUACCCUAAAACUUUCAUUUUUAUAGAAGAGAAGCAGGGUAUCAAUUACAAGAAUCGCACGGAAACAUGCGAACAAUAGCGCCGCAAUUCACCCACACCUACACCACACUAAGUAGGCUAACCCCUCACAAAUCGGUCACCACCUGAAGCUCCAGCAUGUUCCCAGUCGUCCCAACCAGGGACAGAUCGUUGCAUGUUGAGGUUAGCGAACACUCGCGUUUCUCUGUUUCCACAGGUUCAAACCCUUGACGAUCAGUAGGCAUCGUAUAACAGACUAGUGAAUUUUCAGCACUAGUUAUUCUGCACCUAGUUAAGAACAAGGAACACAAUAACCAGGGAAUGAAACCCUCUGUCCCUAGUUAUUCUGUAAGAACUUAGCUGGAGAGUAGUCCCUAGUGAUUUUUUACAGAAUAACUAGUGAAUAACCAGUCUAUGGACUACUCUCCAGCUAAGAAUUUUCAUGAGGCACUCUUUUCUCCUAAUAAUACUAUCAAGCAUGCAUAAUCAAAUGCCUCACAAUGCCAGCAGGCAAUCAACAACAUGUACCACAAACAGGCGUUUUUGGCGCUAGAAUAGUAUAUGGCUCAUAGAAAUAUGACCAACAGCUAGGUAGUGGAAAUUCUGCUCUUCUAUUACAGCGUGACAAAGAUUACUAGCAUCUAAGGCCUCCUAAUAAAAAGGCCCGUAUGACCGACAGGUUAAACACCAACCCAUCUAAGAAAAUAUCUCCACCACACAACCUAGUUAAUUACUGUACAAGGAACAUCUUCACCUCUCGUGUGAAGGAAACCCUACGGACCAGCUACUAGUACCAUCACCGGUUUUAUUGUCCACGAAGCCCGCCAAAUGCUAAAGACGGGACAGCCUCUGACUCUGAGAGUGCUGCUUAAGCCCAGUCGUCGAGUUCAAAGUCAAAUAUAAGGCCUGUAGAAUCCAAUCCGGAAGAGUCCCUCUGCUGAGCAGCUUCUAACAAUAAUUCAUCUGCAGGGGGGCUUAGAAAACCAUCAAGAUGAGCUUCAUCUGGACUAAGACUGCCACCAUAAUUCAGAGGAUGCAAAGUUUGCUUAGGAGCAUUUGUCUGGGUACCACCACCUGUUGUAUGAAUGGGCAAGCCAUGCCCAUUAGAAGUCAUCAGGUUUACCGCUGACGCAACAGACUCGGCGUGAAGGCCCCCCUCCCCUUGGUUUGCACCGGCAUCCAGAGGUUGGGGGGAAGUCCUCACAGGCUGCUGGGAAUGUGAAGUACUGGUAUUGUAAGCAGAAUCAUCCAAUACUCCCAGAUCCGAUGCCACACUAGCAAGUAUGUCUUGCCAGCUUUGUGUGGAAACAUCGAUUACUGGUUCUGGCAGGAAUUGUCUUCUCUCAUUCAUAAGCGAGGUGCACCGGGAAAGUUGAGGUCCUACGCCAUGCACUACAUUUGAGGCAGCCUGAGAAGAUGGUGCCAGCUGACCUUGUUGCCCCUGAGAUGCUAUUGGCGCACUGAGAGAUCUCUGAGGGGCACUUUUCUUGACAGUACCACUGAAAGGAUUGGUUCCUUGUGGUUGAACUUGCUGAGAUACAUGAGCAGUAUUAGUUCCUGGUAUAGCUUGAACUGGCUGUGAUACAUGUGGCAAUGCAUUGUUCAUAAGGGACAGGGUACUGAUUGGAGCACUAGAACCAAAUCGGUUAGCAUUUCGGAUUGUGUGACCUGGAGAAGCUGUAUCUACUCUUUUGAAGUUUCCACGUGAAUGGAUGUUUUGAGCAGUGUGGACAUUGUUUGUACUUCUCACCGCUUUUGUCGCAAGGGAUGCUCUUGGUGUACUGAUAGUCCGUCCUACAUUCAGUGAGACUCUAACUGAAGUGUGUCUUUGUUGGUUUUGGCUCAUAACAUGCAGAAGAGGACUUCUGUUUGCAAAAGACGAGACUUGACACUGUAUAUCCUUCUUAAUGGAUGGUGCCAUUGUUGGGUAGAUGGCAUUCUGGCAUUGUUCUGGACGAGAUGCUGGAAGACUUUUAGACUUGAAUGCUUGCCGCAGCUGUUUCCACUUUGAUUCCUUAUCCGUAGCAUGACAAUGAUCAUUAAGCUGGAUACCUUUACCCCAAUAAUUACAUGGAGCUGGAGCAUCGCAUACAAAACAGUGACACUGCAUUUAAGAAGUAACAAUGAAAUGGCAUAAAAAUGUACAUUGUCUAAU
rnacentral:lncRNA from 1 species